CAGCCGCCGCGGGAAUACGAAGGGGGCUAGCGUUGUUCGGAUUUACUGGGCGUAAAGGGCGCGUAGGUGGGCUGAUAAGUCAGGGGUGAAAUCCCAAGGCUCAACCUUGGAACUGCCUUUGAUACUGUUUGUCUUGAGUUCGAGAGAGGUAAGUGGAACUGCGAGUGUAGAGGUGAAAUUCGUAGAUAUUCGCAAGAACACCAGUGGCGAAGGCGGCUUACUGGCUCGAUACUGACGCUGAGGCGCGAAAGCGUGGGGAACAAACAGGAUUAGAUACCCCAGUAGUCCCUGUCUCUUAUAA
rnacentral:rRNA from 1 species